rnacentral:rRNA from 1 species
AUUGAACGCUGGCGGCAGGCCUUACACAUGCAAGUCGAACGAGUGGCGGACGGGUGAGUAAUAUAUGGGAAACUGCCCGAUGGAGGGGGAUAACUACUGGAAACGGUAGCUAAUACCGCAUACCAUCGGAUGUGCCCAGAUGGGAUUAGCUAGUUGGUGGGGGAAAGGCUCACCUAGGCGACGAUCCCUAGCUGGUCUGAGAGGAAGACCAGCCACACUGGGACUGAGACACGGCCCAGACUCCUACGGGAGGCAGCAGUGGGGAAUAUUGGACAAUGGGCGAAACCCUGAUGCAGCCAUCCCGCGUGUAUGAAGAAGGCCUUCGGGUUGUAAAGUACUUUUGGCGGGGAAGCGUUACCCGCAGAAUAAGCACCGGCUAACUCCGUGCCAGCAGCCGCGGUAAUAC